rnacentral:lncRNA from 1 species
AGGCGCUGUUGCGGCAGUGCGGGGGCGGAAGUACCUGGGCUGGACACAACGCAGGCCCCAGGCCUGAGGACCAGGGAGCGCAUAUGGGGCGGACCGUGGGACGCUGCUGCUCUCCAAGACGACCGCACAGCAGGGAGCUGAGCUUCAGCCUGAUGCAACGGCGGAAGUGUGCUGUCCUUAAACGCUGGAGUCCUAACCCGAGCUCUGAUGGACAACAUGCUCUCGGAGCCAGGCCCUGCGAGAGCGCACACCUGAGUUUCCUCUUUGAAGUUUCCUGUUGCCUGGUGCAGAAACCGCCAGCAGGAAAAGAAAACGAAGGAACACGCACCCAAUCCCACGAGGACGCCCGUGGCCGAGGAACCCCAGAAACUCACCGGAAGACCAAAGUUUGGCUGAUGCCAGGCACCGAGGUGACGGACGGGCCGGAGGAUGGCGGUCAGCUUAGGACUCCAGAGCUCCUGAGGCUGAACUCUGCACUGUCCCUUGGAAGAAACUGGUCCAGGUCCGCGAAGACAGAGCCGGGUUACACCUGCUGGGAGCUUACAGUGAGCCGGUGCCUGGGGAAAGAGGGAAGUGUUUAGGAGUAUAUGCAUCUCGUACUGUGUGCAACUGUCUUGGAUGCAAAUAAGAACGCUGUAUUCUAUUACCACAAACAAUGACUUCAAAUCUGGU